rnacentral:rRNA from 1 species
UACGUAGGGUGCAAGCGUUAAUCGGAAUUAUUGGGCGUAAAGAGCUUGUAGGCGGUUUGUCGCGUCUGCCGUGAAAGCCCAGGGCUUAACCCUGGGUCUGCGGUGGGUACGGGCAGACUAGAGUGUGGUAGGGGAGACUGGAAUUCCUGGUGUAGCGGUGAAAUGCGCAGAUAUCGGGAGGAACACCGGUGGCGAAGGCGGUUCUCUGGGCCUUACCUGACGCUGAGGAGCGAAAGCGUGGGGAGCGAACAGG